UACAGAGGUCUCAAGCGUUGUUCGGAUUCAUUGGGCGUAAAGGGUGCGUAGGCGGCGCGGUAAGUCGGGUGUGAAAUCUCGGGGCUUAACUCCGAAACUGCAUUCGAUACUGCCGUGCUUGAGGACUGGAGAGGAGACUGGAAUUUACGGUGUAGCGGUGAAAUGCGUAGAUAUCGGGAGGAACACCUAUGGCGAAGGCAGCUCGCUGGGACGUAACUGACGCUGAGACGCGAAAGCGUGGGGAGCAAACAGG
rnacentral:rRNA from 1 species